AGGUCUGCAACUCGACCUCAUGAAGUCGGAAUCGCUAGUAAUCGCAUAUCAGAACGAUGCGGUGAAUACGUUCCCGGGCCUUGUACACACCGCCCGUCACACCACGAAAGUUUGUUGUACCCGAAGUCGGUGCCUUAACCUCGCAAGAGGAGAGAGCCGCCCAAGGUAUGGCCGAUGAUUGGGGUGAAGUCGUAACAAGGUAGCCGUAGGGGAACCUGCGGCUGGAUCACCUCCUUUCUAGGAGAGAAGGGUCCUGGAUGAAGCGCUCCUAUUUAGUCUUGUGAAGGAUCCGAGUGGAAGCCGGGACCGGAGAAAGACCGGGCCUGUAGCUCAGAUGGUGAGAGCGCACGCCUGAUAAGCGUGAGGUCGAUAGUUCGAAUCUAUCCAGGCCCACCAUCUGCGGGGAUGUAGCUCAGUUGGGAGAGCGCCUGCUUUGCAAGCAGGAGGUCAGCGGUUCGAUCCCGCUCAUCUCCACCACGGAGAAGGGACACGGCCGGAGAGAAAGAGGUCCGG
rnacentral:rRNA from 1 species